GUUUCAAUUAGCCGAUUGAACGCUACACCAAGCUCCGCUUGGUAUUUGUCCCUCGGACUAUAUAUUUCUAGAAGCGACCCUACUACCGUCAAGUCAAUUAGUACAUCUCUUCGAAGCUAUUUAAUGCGAUAAAAAUUUGUACUAGCUCCCUUUUGCCAUUGCCACGUAAAUCAGACACAAUAUUGGCAUACAUUAUCGUGUUUGUGUGUAGGCCGUUAAACAAUGGCCCCUACCUCGGGAAGAAGAUUUUAAUCAAGCACCUGGAAAA
rnacentral:lncRNA from 1 species